rnacentral:sRNA from 1 species
UUCAAUAUCCUUCAUCCUGCUGUGAUGGACAUACUUCCUGACCAGGUGACCUAGUCUUUUUGCCGGCAGACUGACGUAUUCAUCCAUUGCUGUCACCGCAUCCUACAGAAACACAAAGCACAAGCAGUGCAGUAAUUAAUCUCAAUGUGAUAGAUAAAGAUUUAGCUUGGGAUUUCCUUCCUGUGGAAGGUUAAUUAAUCCCAAAGGACAAAUAUUGCACAGCCUUCCAAGUAUACAAUGGUUUCCAUAGUCGGUCAUUUGAGCGGGAUUUUACGUCAGGACUCCACGUGCUUCGCCUGUCAAUCAGUUUAAGUAUAACAGUACAGAUCAUGCCAUGUUCCUUUUUGAAAUUAUUCAACAAUAAUUUCCUUCCGACUUCAUGAUUAUAACUUGUACUGGCGAUCAGAGUCUCUUUCUCUCGCUGUCGUAUCUUUUUUUAACUAGAUAAUAUCUUAAUAUAUUU